rnacentral:rRNA from 1 species
CGUUUCUUGUUCUAGGAAACUAUGGAAAAAUUUUAAGUAUUAAAAAUAAUAAUUAAUUAAAAGGGAGUUGAGUAAUAUUAUGAAUUAAUGCUUUAUUAAAAACUGUGAAGGUUAUUUAAAAAGUGACGGAUUAAUUUAUUUGAUAAUUACCUUUUGUAUCAGGGAAUAUUAAAAUUUAAUUAUUUAUUUAUUUGUCCCGAAUACAUUGGAUUUAAUUUGAUUAAUGGUGAUUUAUUUUAUAAAAUUUCGUUAGAUUGAAUUAGUAAUGAAAUGUUUAUCGUUAAUGUUGAUAUCUGGUUUUUUUUAUUAAAAUUUAAUUUUUUCUGUAAAUUUUUGAGGUUAAUAUUUUAAAGUGUUUGUGGAUUUGUAUAAAAAGGGAUAAGCUUUUUUAUCAUUUAAAAUUAUUGUGGUUUUAUAUAAGUUUGUUUUGGGUAAAUUUGAAAUUGGUGAAGUUAAUAUUUAAUAAUAGAGAUUGAAAAUGUUUUGGUGAUUUAUUUAUAUUUAAAUAUUUUGAAAAAUGUUGUUUAAGUAAUUUUUUUAUAAUGAAAUAAUGAUUUUAUUAGUAGAGUAUUUAUAUAUAUAUAUAUAUAUAUAUAUAUAUUAUGUUGUUUAGAUAUGUUUAUAUUGUUGUUAAGGAACUAGGCAUAUUAUGUAUUUACCUGUUUAUCAAAUACAUGGUUUUGAGUGGUUGAUUCAAAAUUUUUUCUGCUCAAUGAAUAAGGGUUUUAAAUGGCCGCAGUAAAUUGACUGUGCAAAGGUAGCAUAAUAAUUAGUUUAUUGAUUGUGAACUGGAAUGAAUGGAAUGAUAAAAUAUGGGCUGUCUUAGUAAUAAAUUUUUUGAAUUUUACGUUAAAGUUAAAAGGCUUUAAUGAUUUAAGGGGACGAGAAGACCCUAUAGAACUUGGAUUUGAUUGAUUUUAUUUGUCAAUAAAGUAUUAAGGAAUAAUUUGUUUGAGAUUUUAUUGGGGAGAUGGUUAGAAUUAAGAAACUUUGAUUUUUAUUUUAUUUCAUUGUUUAUUGGAAAAUUAUUAGGUUAUUAAUGAUCUUUAUUUGUGAUUGGAAGAUAAGUUACCUUAGGGAUAACAGUGUUAUUUGUAUGGAGAGUUCUAAUCAAUAUAUAAGUUUGCGACCUCGAUGUUGAAUUAAGAUGAAUAUUUAAAGAAGGAUUUAAUAAUUAUUAGGUCUGUUCGACCUUUAAAAUCUUACAUGAUUUGAGUUCAAACCGGUGAGAGCCAGGUUGGUUUCUAUCUCUUAUUUUUAGUUAUUUGUAUUAGUACGAAAGGACCAUUUAAAUUGAAUUUUUUA